rnacentral:rRNA from 1 species
AACAAACGCUGGCGGCGUGCCUAAUACAUGCAAGUCGAACGAGGAAAGCUUUCGGGUGAGUACUAGUGGCGCACGGGUGAGGAAUAUAUGGGUAAUCUGCCCUCGAGUUGGGGAUAACCAGUCGAAAGACUGGCUAAUACCGAAUAAGACCACAGGAUCUGCGGAUCUAGGGGUUAAAGGUUUUUCGCUUGAGGAUGAGCCCAUACGGGAUUAGCUAGUUGGCGAGGUAAUGGCUCACCAAGGCUACGAUCCCUAACUGGUCUUAGAGGAUGAUCAGUCACACUGGAACUGAGACACGGUCCAGACUCCUACGGGAGGCAGCAGUAGGGAAUAUUGCACAAUGGGGGAAACCCUGAUGCAGCGACGCCGCGUGAGUGAUGAAGGCCUUCGGGUCGUAAAGCUCUGUCGUAUGGGACUAACACAAUGAAGGUACCAUGCAAGAAAGGAUCGGCUAACUUCGUGCCAGCCGCCGCCGUAA